AUUGAUAGGAAAACCUCCAGUGGCCGUCACUCAGACGGCCACCAGAGGGACUUCCUAUCAUGUAUGGCCCUAAAAAGGCCAUGUACACGUCAGACGUAUUAAAAUACGUCUGACGUGUGCAGGAGAGAGAAGGCACUGUGUGCGCGCCUUCUCUCUCCUGCCUGUCAGCAGAGGAGAGGGGGCGGGCAAAGACCGCGAGCUGAGCUGUCAGUCA
rnacentral:lncRNA from 1 species